rnacentral:rRNA from 1 species
UGGGGAAUAUUGCGCAAUGGGCGAAAGCCUGACGCAGCGACGCCGCGUGAGGGACGAAGGCCUUCGGGUCGUAAACCUCUUUCAGUAGGGACGAAGCGAAAGUGACUGUACCUACAGAAGAAGCACCGGCUAACUACGUGCCAGCAGCCGCGGUAAUACGUAGGGUGCAAGCGUUGUCCGGAAUUAUUGGGCGUAAAGAGCUCGUAGGUGGUCCGUUACGUCUGCUGUGAAAACUCGGGGCUCAACCCCGAGCCUGCAGUGGAUACGGGCGGGCUAGAGUGCGGUAGGGGAGACUGGAAUUCCUGGUGUAGCGGUGAAAUGCGCAGAUAUCAGGAGGAACACCGGUGGCGAAGGCGGGUCUCUGGACCGAUACUGACACUGAGGAGCGAAAGCGUGGGGAGCGAACAGGAUUAGAUACCCCCGUAGUCC